rnacentral:tRNA from 1 species
GCCUGGGUGGCUCAGUCGGUUAAGUGUCUGACUUCGGCUCAGGUCAUGAUCUUGUCGUUCAUGGGUUCAAGUCCUAUGUCAGGCU